UAAACUUAUCCCGUUAAUCAAUCUAUCCCCUUUGAAGGGGACAAACCUGACCCAUCGAAACACUUGGGUCACUUGGCCACUUUUGUCAUGCUCUCUCGAAGAAGUUCUCGUCCUCCCACCCGAAGGUGUCUCUCGCCUGACCGUUCGCCUCCUCUCUUCGAUUUCUCGCCGGACCGUUCUUCGCCUCUCUCCGAUUUGAAACCCCCGGGCUUCGAUUUGCGAGGAAGAAGGCUUUAUUUUGUGUUCUACAUCUACAGGUCUUGAAUAUCUGAAACUACUGCGAAUUUGGAAGUUCAGGAACGGCAAAGCUAUAAAGAAGAUUCUGUAUGCUACAGAUGAUGAUGCAACAGUGGUAGCUGAAGCUCAAGCCAUGGUGUCCCACCACCUAAAGGAAGCAGAGCCCUUGAGUCCCAUCGUUGAGGUGAAAAAACGAGUUCAGAAGCUUAGAAGAGGAAAGCUAUUGUUAAUGUUGAUUUUGAUGCUGCUGGAAUCACAACAUUGUCUCCAAGGCAAAGGAUUUCUGAUACUUCUGAUGUUCACUGCAAUGGAUCAGCUCUUAUGACCUACUAGAUUGUUUUUCUAUGUCAUAUGUUCAAAAAGUCCAGUAUAGUGUUGUAGUAAAACAAUGUUAAUGGACCUAGAAUUUAUAUACUUGGUUGUAUGAGAGCAGCUUAGUUGUUUGAGAGCAGCUUCUGCUUUUGUUUGUUUGUCUUGUCUACUUAUGAUAUGUUGUAAGAAAUUAAUUCUUUAUCUCAUUUUUGGCUUAUGAGAUAAGCUUUAUGGUUUUA